rnacentral:rRNA from 1 species
CAGCCGCCACGGUAAUACGUAGGUGGCAAGCGUUGUCCGGAAUUAUUGGGCGUAAAGGGCUCGCAGGCGGCCUCUUAAGUCUGAUGUGAAAGCCCCCGGCUCAACCGGGGAGGGUCAUUGGAAACUGGGAAACUUGAGUGCAGAAGAGGAGAGUGGAAUUCCACGUGUAGCGGUGAAAUGCGUAGAGAUGUGGAGGAACACCAGUGGCGAAGGCGACUCUCUGGUCUGUAACUGACGCUGAGGAGCGAAAGCGUGGGGAGCGAACAGGAUUAGAUACCCGCGUAGUCCCUGUCUCUUAUAC